UAGUCUCGCACAGAUGCAUAUCAAUAAGCGGAGGAAAAGAGAACUAACAAGGAUUCCCUUAGUAAUGGCGAGUGAAGCGGGAAGAGCUCAAAUUUGAAAUCUUCAAGGUUUUACCUUGACGAAUUGUAGUUUAAAGAAGUGUUUUCUGUUGAAGUUUUGGUAAAAGUUCUUUGGAAUAGGACAUCAUAGAGGGUGAGAAUCCCGUAUUUGACCAUUAUUUUCAGCUGUGUGAUACACUUUCAAAGAGUCGGAUUGUUUGGGAAUGCAGUCCAAAAUGGGUGGUAAAUUUCAUCUAAAGCUAAAUAUUGGCGAGAGACCGAUAGCGAACAAGUACCGUGAGGGAAAGAUGAAAAGAACUUUGAAAAGAGAGUUAAACAGUACGUGAAAUUGUCAAAAGGGAAGCGUUUGACACCAGUGUUGUUUUCUCGAAAAUCAAUUAAAAAGAGUUUAGAUUUUGUUGUGUAUUGACCUUAACAGCUUGCAUUUCAAUUUUCUUGCUUUUUUUUAAUGCACUUUUCGUUUAACAAGUCAACAUCAGUUUCUUUUGUUGUAAAAAGGUCAUUGGAAGGUGGCUUUCUUUUCGGAGAAAGUGUUUAUAGCCUUUGACUCCUGCAAUCGGAGAGACUGAGGUCUGCAGCGUAGAUCCUUCGGGGUUAGAUACAUUUGUGCUAAGUUAUAGCUUUUUAUAGACAACUUGUUGACUAUGAUUAGUCUUGUAGCUUACUCGCUUAUGCUAUUUUACCUACGCUUAGGAUGUUGAGCGCAUGUCUCUCUCU
rnacentral:rRNA from 1 species